rnacentral:rRNA from 1 species
GAAGGUGGCCUGUGAGGGUUGCUGGAGGUAUCAGAAGUGCGAAUGCUGACAUAAGUAACGAUAAAGCGGGUGAAAAGCCCGCUCGCCGGAAGACCAAGGGUUCCUGUCCAACGUUAAUCGGGGCAGGGUGAGUCGACCCCUAAGGCGAGGCCGAAAGGCGUAGUCGAUGGGAAACGGGUUAAUAUUCCCGUACUUGGUGUUACUGCGAAGGGGGGACGGAGAAGGCUAUGUUGGCCGGGCGACGGUUGUCCCGGUUUAAGCGUGUAGGUGUGUGUUCCAGGUAAAUCCGGUUCACUUUAACACUGAGGCGUGAUGACGAGGCACUACGGUGCUGAAGCAACAAAUGCCCUGCUUCCAGGAAAAGCCUCUAAGCAUCAGGUAACAUCAAAUCGUACCCCAAACCGACACAGGUGGUCAGGUAGAGAAUACCAAGGCGCUUGAGAGAACUCGGGUGAAGGAACUAGGCAAAAUGGUGCCGUAACUUCGGGAGAAGGCACGCUGACAUGUAGGUGAAGUGAUUUACUCAUGGAGCUGAAGUCAGUCGAAGAUACCAGCUGGCUGCAACUGUUUAUUAAAAACACAGCACUGUGCAAACACGAAAGUGGACGUAUACGGUGUGACGCCUGCCCGGUGCCGGAAGGUUAAUUGAUGGGGUCAGCGCAAGCGAAGCUCCUGAUCGAAGCCCCGGUAAACGGCGGCCGUAACUAUAACGGUCCUAAGGUAGCGAAAUUCCUUGUCGGGUAAGUUCCGACCUGCACGAAUGGCGUAAUGAUGGCCAGGCUGUCUCCACCCGAGACUCAGUGAAAUUGAACUCGCUGUGAAGAUGCAGUGUACCCGCGGCAAGACGGAAAGACCCCGUGAACCUUUACUAUAGCUUGACACUGAACAUUGAGCCUUGAUGUGUAGGAUAGGUGGGAGGCUUUGAAGUGUGGACGCCAGUCUGCAUGGAGCCGACCUUGAAAUACCACCCUUUAAUGUUUGAUGUUCUAACGUGGACCCGUGAUCCGGGUUGCGGACAGUGUCUGGUGGGUAGUUUGACUGGGGCGGUCUCCUCCUAAAGAGUAACGGAGGAGCACGAAGGUUGGCUAAUCCUGGUCGGACAUCAGGAGGUUAGUGCAAUGGCAUAAGCCAGCUUGACUGCGAGCGUGACGGCGCGAGCAGGUGCGAAAGCAGGUCAUAGUGAUCCGGUGGUUCUGAAUGGAAGGGCCAUCGCUCAACGGAUAAAAGGUACUCCGGGGAUAACAGGCUGAUACCGCCCAAGAGUUCAUAUCGACGGCGGUGUUUGGCACCUCGAUGUCGGCUCAUCACAUCCUGGGGCUGAAGUAGGUCCCAAGGGUAUGGCUGUUCGCCAUUUAAAGUGGUACGCGAGCUGGGUUUAGAACGUCGUGAGACAGUUCGGUCCCUAUCUGCCGUGGGCGCUGGAGAACUGAGGGGGGCUGCUCCUAGUACGAGAGGACCGGAGUGGACGCAUCACUGGUGUUCGGGUUGUCAUGCCAAUGGCACUGCCCGGUAGCUAAAUGCGGAAGAGAUAAGUGCUGAAAGCAUCUAAGCACGAAACUUGCCCCGAGAUGAGUUCUCCCUGAGACUUAAAGUCUCCUGAAGGAACGUUGAAGACGACGACGUUGAUAGGCCGGGUGUGUAAGCGCAGCGAUGCGUUGAGCUAACCGGUACUAAUGAACCGUGAGGCUUAACCUUAC